AGCCGCCUCAACAUUUUCCUGAUGUCCUUCCAGCGGCCUCUUUCUCUUGCUUUCCUUUCUCCUCCUGUCUCACCUUUUAUAUUUUAUUUUUUGCUUUCCUGAUACGCCUCUAUCCCCCGCUUCCCAGGCUCCUCUCAUCUUUCCUGCCCUUCCAGCUCAAAGGAAAGUUCUAGAGCAAGGCCAGAAGCCAGACAACCCCCUCUCCAGCCGUCCAGCGCGGUAAAGCUGGAAUAAGGACAUAAAUAACCUAGAAGAGAGGCAAGAGACACUGGGGUCUCCAGGACCCUCAGGAAUGAGCUCCCAUGGUUCACGCCUAACCCUCUCUUACUUGCUGAUCCAGAGUCAUUUAACCUCCUUCCUCGUCUCUUUCUUCCUGUUGGGUCCUGGGUGCCAAAGAGUGGCUAGACAUUCCCCCCUUUUGACAACUUCUUGGGUUACUGGAAAGUGUCUAUUGGGACACGUUUCAAGCCAUCACUUUCUUGAGGUUAAAUACUGUCAGUUCCUCUUGCCUUUCUUCAUCAGACCUUUUUGUCCAGAGUUUAAUUGUUUUCAUGGGUUCUGUCCAUGCCGUGUCCAUCAUAGGACGGGGAGCCGGGCCUGCAGCCUCUGCACUAAUAAGGGCUUGAUUCCUGCUGUGUGAGUGUGUUGGAGGAUUUCCCUGAUACUUCUUCCUCACAGACCCUUCUUAACCUCAACCUGAUUAACAUUUGGGGACAUAAUUGUUGGAAAGACUCUCCUGGGCAUCUGGGGUGUUUAGCAGCAUCCCUGGCCUCCAUUCACUAGAUGCCAGUAGCACACACACAAGUUAUGACAACAGAAAAUAUCUCCAGACAGGGCCCAAUAUCCCUAAAGGCAGAGUCACUCCGAGUUGAGAACCACUAGCCCCGUGAGAUAGGCAGACUAGCAAACGAUUGUUACCAUUCAAAGAAGCCCUACAACAGGGGCAUAAACACAGGACUGCGCAUGAGUCAGAGGGAAUUUGAGUUGUUCUGAAGGGUGGAUACAAGUUUCCCACAGAGAGACGGCGUUGGAAGGAGGACUUUCCAGACAGAAAGAGAAACAUGUGCAAGGGCACUGGGGUGUCACAGAAAAAAACAACAGUUGCCUGGCAUGGCAGGUAUCUGGGCAGGAACAAGAAAUGAGGAUGAACUGGGUCUGCCCCCACUUCAUAAAGGGCCUUGUGUGACUAGGAAACAGGGAGCUUUUUAAGCUGGGGAGCCUGAGGAACAGAUGCAUUUUUGGCCUGAAGGAACGGAGAGGAGGGGAAGGCAUGGAGGUAACUCAGGAAGAUGACCGUGCGCAUUGAAGGCAAUGGUGCUUGGAAAGGGAACAAAGGGGACAAGACUGGAGAGCUCUUUCUGAGACGGAACAGACAAUAGAUGUGGGGAAGGAGACAGAAUAAAGUUGAAGGUGACCCCGGAGCCUCGGAGUUGAUGGGGUCCUGCUGGGCCAGUUUUGGCAUGGAGGCCUUUUUCCACCCUGGAAAUGUUGUGGAUUUCGGGCUGCGUCCACCUCCUCUGGGGAGAUGAGGCGCUGGGAUGUUUACGUUGGGGAGAGUCUUUCCUCCUUGUUUGCUUUUAGGUCAGGCUCAUGGGAGGCAUCUGGUGGGCAGAACCCAACCCUUAGGAACUGGGUUCAGGAACUGAAUGUCUAGUUUUUCCACCAACCGCCUCUGGCACUCGAGUGCCUGAGCCUCAGUUUAUCCAUCUGUGAUUGAAGAGAAACUCCCACCCCCAACCCGCCAGGAUGUGGUGAGUGUGAAUAGGGCUGUAUCCGUGGGUGGCUCAGACCCCCGUGGGUACUUGGCAGGCAGAGCCUGCAGUUGGCAGGAGCCGGGCGUGGUUGUAAUCAGGCCUGAUGGGAAGGCCCCGACUCCACCGCGGCCUUGAGCGGCUGCCAGCUCUGUGACCAGGCCUGCUUCAGAACUUGCCUGCAAGUUAUUUUUUUUUUUCCAGUGUGUCUGGUUCCUACAAAUGGACUUUCUAAAAUCUUCUCAGGCUCCAAGAAGCCCCUUGGGCUAUGCAUCCCCUGUCCUUCAUGAUCCCCCGGCUCAGUGGGAAACCUGGAGAUGAUUCCACUCCAUUUGGCUCCAUGUAGAUACUCCCCUUCCUUUCCUCACUGCCUUCCCAUUUAUUGUGAAAGGAAAGAAUAGGAGGCUGGGAUGGAGGCUCUGUGGAGAGGCUGGCCUGGCUAGCCAGUCACAAUGACCUUGGGCCUGCUAGCUAACUCCUUUCCCCCGUGUUUACCCUGGACAGGCAAGGUGAGUGGAUGGCACCCAGAGGCAAAUGGUGAGUGCAAGUGUGCGUGUGUGCGCGCACGUGUGUGUGUGUGUGUGUGUGUGUGUGUGUGUGUGUGUGUGUGUUUUACUGCUCCUCACUCCCAGGAGCCUGGCGCUGAUGGUGAUGUCUCUCUCAACGCAGGAACAAGGGGUUGCAUUGUUAGCUUGCCUAUCUCUUGGUUUCUGAUUCACCCUGGGCCACUGCAGCCUGAGCAGGUUCACAGCUGCUCAGGGAUACACUUUCCAGCACAUUUAGGACUUGGAACAGCCCCAGGUUUCAGGAACACAUGGUGAUGGGGGAGGGAGUGGGGCUCAAAUAGACUAGGAAGGGGGAAGCAAGCUCCUUCUUUCUUUCUUCAAGAUGAAUCUCCAUUUUCAUCAUCUGAUAGCAGGAACAGCAUGUGAGGACGGCGGAUGAAUUGCAAACCUGUGCAGUUACAGCCUCCACCGGGCCCCCCAAGCCAGCCAGGGACGCUCCAGUGUGCCCCGGAAGUCGACCCCUGGAAGCUUGCUCACAGGCUCCCAUUCAGAGGCUGACUGAUUGAAGAGGCGGCUGUGGGUCGGCAGUGUGACCUUUGGGCCCGCCUUGGUGGGUACUGAUGUCCUCCUAAGAUCUAGUUUUGGCCUUUCCAAGAAGUGUGGACAGCAGGAUAAAGAAGAGGAUGUCCUGAGCCAGGUCAGCAGGUGAGAGGGGGGAGGGAGCGCAUCCCAGGCUGCUCCAAGGGCAGUCACCUCCCCUGUCUUGCUCUCCAGAGCCUCUGAGGCAGCUACCUGCAAACCCUGUGCCACCAUGCCAGGUAAGUGGGGGCUCCCUGGAGCAAGGAUCUGGGCCCAGGACACUCAGCCGAGCCAGCACAUGCUGGUCUGUCCUCAAGGUGCAUGGCACCAACCGUUCAUCUGGAUGACAAGGUCCCCCUUCCCCAGUGAGGGAGAGUUGGCACACCUUCAUCUCCUAGGGCCCACAUGUCCUCGCCCAGUGUUAUGUCACAAUCCUGUAGUGAGAGGAAAAGAGCUCUGCCCCAUCCAUGGAAGGGGAGUUUCAAAAAGCUACCUGGUAACUCUGCAUGACUCUCUCCCUCCUACCCACACUGAGUUAUCAUCAUCAUCAUCAUCAUCAUCACCACCGCCAUCACUUUCACUUAGUAAAGGCCAGGUUCUGUGUGUGGAGCCUGCUUUAUUACAUCAUCCUUACUCUGGCUCUGAGAAGUAGGUAUCAUGGUCCCUAUUUUAUAGAUGGAGAAACUGAGGACCAGAGAAGUCACUAACUUGUCUAAAACCACACACAGCUCCUUUGAAGCAGGAGAGAGAAACAGGAGGCCCAAGAUAUCACUCUGUGCCCUGCACAACUGCCCAGGACGGAGGAGCUAGAGCGGGGAAAGGCUGGUGAGGUGGCCAUCACAGGCCACUCCAUAACAUGCCACUGAGCCCAGAACAUGGAGUCUGCCGCCUGGAGCAAGAGAAGAGUGGAGCUCGGUGGGAGUCGGCCUGCAGAGCUGCAGGAAAACCCCCGUAGAACCAGCUGCAGAUCUUCUUUCCCUCCACUCCACCCUCAUGGAGACUUUUCCUCCAGGCCAGCCUGUUCUGCUGGAAAAACAAUCUCCCCUGCCUGGGGACCCGGGCGGCUGGGCUACCUUCUGGUCUGUCUUCAUUCAGAUCCAUUUCUCUCCUCCCUGGAGCUGGGGGAGGGAGUCAUGCUGGGGGAGGCACGGGUGGGGCUGAAGACUUCAUCUGUCCCCCUUUAAGCCAAGCAAAGAAAAAUAGGCUUUUGCCAGGAUCUUUCAUCUCAGUCAUUUACUCUCGCAGAUGUUUUCUGCAAUAUAAACAAGAAGCAAGGAAUGUCGGGGAGGAAAGGAGGACGGGAGGCGGGCAGGAGGGAAGGAGAAGAAUCAACAGCUUUGAAACCUGGGCCUGCAGAGGGCAGGAAACAGGACCUCAGCAGGGGCCCUGCUGCCCUGAGAGCAUGGGCAAACCCGAGGUCACUGCACCAGGCCUAGCAGAGGGCGGCUGCUGGGGGUGUCUUUGAAAGAAGGCUCUGGAGAAGUGGGCCAGUGAGUGGUCACCCCAAACAGGCUCCCCCUGCCUGGGAACCUGCCCAUGGGGAGACACUGCUGGGGUCUCGGCUUACCUGGAAUGGCACCUGGCUGGGGCACACCCUUGCCCACCUUAGCACACCCCGAAGGCUGUUCUGGACUUCAGAACUCUGUCCACUGCCCAGAUCUGCCAGCAAGACCAGUGGGAGGUGUGGCACCCACAGUGGCAAUAAGGAUUUGGUCAUAGAGGGAGGAGGAAGAAUCCUGAGCUGGGUGCUGGAGGGCAGGAGAAGCAGAUCACACAGUGGGUCAAGAGCUAACCAGGAAGGCAGAUGGCUCCCAGUUCCACAUUUUGUGGGAUUCCUAUUGGUGUCAACAGCUAAUAAGCCUGGGGUUGCAAACUCAAAUGCCUCUGGGGACUGACCAGGAGCUCAAAGGAGUGACCCUGAAAGGGGACAGUAUGAAGAAGAAAAGGCAGACCCAUCUAGAAGGGUGGCCACCACUCAGCUUCGCACUACGAAAGAUUCAAGAGAGCCCAGACAUCCACAGCUGUGUAUAAAGCUCCUGUUUUAUUUUU